CAAGGACCCGGUACACACACAAACCUAUCCUUUGUCUAUAAUGUACACAUACAUAUGUUUCCUGCAAGCAACAUGUGCAUUCAUCUCAUGUAGGACUGAAAGAGAAGGCCGUUGUCGUCACUUCCCGUAAAGAAGAAGCCGCUGUCCCCAGUGGAGACUCCUGAUGCUGAACCUACACCAGAAGCUGUUAUUGAGCCUGAGCCUGAGCCUGUGGAAGAUGUGAUUGAAGCUGCUGUAGCAGAGGACACUUCUGCACCUGCACCAGAGCCUGAACCUGAGGUAGCAGCUGAGCCUGAGCCCGAACCAGAGCCUGACCAGAGCUGA
rnacentral:lncRNA from 1 species